rnacentral:lncRNA from 1 species
CAGAACCGUGAGAGGAGGCACGUCUGCUGCUUCAAGCCACUAAACUGGGGUAACUUGUUAUGGCGGUGACUGGAAACUGAGACAGGCCUCCUGGAGUGCGGAGCUAGACUUUCGGCCAGACCAACAGGUCCCUCUCAGGGGAUUUCAAUACUCGUGGAACCUGCCUUCCUUCAGGAGUUCUUACACCCGCGCCUGGGCUUGUUUAUUCCCUCAACAAACGCCUGCUAGGCGCGGACCCUGUGCUGGUGGGCAGGUGAUGGUGAGCGAGACCCACUCCAGGCUCCGGGACCUCAUGGAGUGGAGGAGCUGGGUAAACAGGCUUUUUCCAUUAAAAAGAUAACAACAACAGCUGGAUGUGCUGCGAAACAGCCAUGGUCCCAGCUACUCAGGAGGCUGAGGCAUGAGGACCACUUGAGCUCAGGAGUUCAAGACAAACCUGGACAACAUAGUGAGACCCUGUCUCAGAAACAAAAAAAAAGAAAAAAAAAAAGCUAACAGUAACAGCACUGUGUAUUGAGGGCUUGUUCUUUACAAACACACCCUCACAUGACCCUCACAGGAACCUCUGACAUCAGCAUCACUGUCCCCAUUUUGCAGAGGAGGAAGCCAGGACUCCAAGGGGCUGACUUCCCACAGCAAUGAGCUCUGAGCAGUGGAGCCAGGGUGCCUCCCAGCCCUGUGGCCAUAGGCCUGUCCCUCGUUCCCCAUGUGUAGGGGAGAUUGGCCAACGAUGAGCACUGAGGGUGCAGGGACAGCUCUAUGAGGGCUGCCCCAACUCUCCCUAUGCCUUUUCAAUGAUUAGACAAAUCCUUCCCGUGCUGUGACAGCUGCCUGUGGUGUUCAGUACAGUCACACGCCAUGCAGGCGUGCAGCCUGGGAGCAAGAGGCUUUGCCCUCUGCCCAGUGUACAGUGGCCAGACCAUCUAGGUGUGUAUAAGCACUCCAGGAUGUUCACACAAACAUGCGUUAACAUCGCGUUUCUCAGAAUGUAUCCCAUCAUUAAUACGUCUGUAACUGUACGUGUGUAUGCGUGUACUUGCUUAUACAUGAUGUUUGCAGAUGUUAUACAUAAAAUGUCAUAUCUGACACAUUAGAUCCUAUAUUACACACAUGCAUGCGUGUACUUUGUUACACAUGACGUUUGCAGAUGUUAUACAUACAUAAAAUGUCAUAAGAAAUCUAUUAGAUUCUGUAUUACACACGUGCACAUGAUAAACUCUAUAUAUUCCACGUAGCGCACCAUGCACACAUGUGGUGAGUGUCAAUUUUGUGCCAGCUUGACUGGGCUGGUAAAGUAUUUCUGGGGGGGUGUGUGUGAGAGCGCUUCUAGAAGAGUUUAGCAUUUGAAUCCAUAGUAUUAAAGAAGGCUGCCCUCAUCAGCACCAGGGUAGGCAGCG